rnacentral:rRNA from 1 species
GACGAACGCUGGCGGCGUGCUUAACACAUGCAAGUCGAACGGAAAGGCCCUGCUUGCCGGGUACUCGAGUGGCGAACGGGUGAGUAACACGUGGGUGAUCUGCCCUGCACUUCGGGAUAAGCCUGGGAAACUGGGUCUAAUACCGGAUAGGAGCCAUUCUUAGUGUGAUGGUUGGAAAGUUUUUUCGGUGUAGGAUGAGCUCGCGGCCUAUCAGCUUGUUGGUGGGGUAAUGGCCUACCAAGGCGGCGACGGGUAGCCGGCCUGGGAGGGUGGACGGCCACAUUGGGACUGGGAUACGGCCCAGACUCCUACGGGAGGCAGCAGUGGGGAAUAUUGCACAAUGGGCGCAAGCCUGAUGCAGCGACGCCGCGUGGGGGAUGACGGCCUUCGGGUUGUAAACUCCUUUCGCUAGGGACGAAGCUUUUUGUGACGGUACCUAGAUAAGAAGCACCGGCUAACUACGUG